GAUGAAGAACGUAGCGAAAUGCGAUAAGUAAUGUGAAUUGCAGAAUUCAGUGAAUCAUCGAAUCUUUGAACGCACAUUGCGCCCGCCAGUAUUCUGGCGGGCAUGCCUGUUCGAGCGUCAUUACAACCCUCAGGCCCCCGGGCCUGGCGUUGGGGAUCGGCGGAAGCCCCCUGCGGGCACAACGCCGUCCCCCAAAUACAGUGGCGGUCCCGCCGCAGCUUCCAUUGCGUAGUAGCUAACACCUCGCAACUGGAGAGCGGCGCGGCCACGCCGUAAAACACCCAACUUCUGAAUGUUGACCUCGAAUCAGGUAGGAAUACCCGCUGAACUUAAGCAUAUCAAUAAGCGAAGGA
rnacentral:misc_RNA from 1 species